GAAAUGCGAUAAGUAAUGUGAAUUGCAGAAUUCAGUGAAUCAUCGAAUCUUUGAACGCAUCUUGCGCUCCUUGGUAUUCCGAGGAGCAUGCCUGUUUGAGUGUCAUUUAACUUCUCAACCAUAUCGAUUUUUGAUGUGGCUUGGAUGUGGGGGUUGUGCAGGCCUCUGACCCUGAGGUCGGCUCCCCUGAAAUGCAUUAGUGGUAUCUGAGCAGAACUACUAUACCAUUUAGGUGUGAUAAGUUAUCUAUGCCUUUGGUAUGCUGCAUGAACAGAUUGCACCGCUUCCAACGGCCCAAUAUAUUUGACAAAUUUGACCUCAAAUCAGGUAGGACUACCCGCUGAACUUAA
rnacentral:misc_RNA from 1 species